UGAACUUGCUCAAUUUCUUCAGCUUCUUGAAGUGAGAGCCAUGUUGUCUUAGGUCUGAGCCCUGCCCAUGACUUUAGCACCCAAAGUGGAAUCCUGGGACAGGCAGGCUGCACUGAAGGGCCACCUGGGCUUGCAUCAUAGCUCGAUAGACUCCACUCAGUUGAGUCUAAGACAGAGCUUUCCUGAAGACCAGGCUGUGCAGUGUUAACUCAGGCUGGGCACAGCCUACUGGUUACCACCCACACUACACAACCACACCACUGGUUGCCUCAUGUUGAGUAUUGUUCUCAGCCAAACAUCUGACGGUGCCCAAGUGGCAGAUGAGAUUGGAAGACCUGAUCUAUGCUGAGCUGCUGAUCUCUUAGAGGAUGAGACAUGUCCCAAGUCUGGUUCUUCCCUGCUUCUUGCCAGGCACUGCCCAGUGUUGGGGAGAUUAGAAGCCACCAGUGGACUGGAUGGAGUACUCACAGGCAGGAUAGAAACCCCACACUGUAGGGUACAGGGCCUCUCGGGUGCAGCCAGCUGGAGUGUAUGUGGGAGCAAGAGAAGGGGUGGGUAGGGACGACAGGCUGAAGGGCCUUGUACACUUCAGCUUUGCAGUUUGCAUAUCAUCCCUUCUGAAGAGUGGUGUGAGGGCCCAGAUGAGGCCUCAUCCCAUGAUCCCUCACCCUCUGAGGACCUGUUGGCCCUAGUGUCACAGUGGUGGGGACCAGGUAUACAUUGAAUGGACAUUUUACUCAAGUCCAGUUAUUGUCUUCUCUGCACACUUGGUGCUGCAGGACUGACCUUUGGGUCUUCUCUAGUGUCUGUAGAAUCACUACCCUCUUGUUCCCACCAUAGACGCUGCGGUCCCCAACAGGCUUCCUGUCCCAGUUACUGUCACAGCCAUUCUCUGUAUGCAGGUAUUUCUACAUGUAAGUGCACAGCUGAAUGUACAUGUGGGGUUGGGGUAAGGGGGACUGCAAUUGCUACCAUGUUUAGGCUCUGUGGGAGCACUGGCAUAUUUGGCUCUAGGGCUUUCUUGGAAGCCUGUAGCCACUUUUAAGAGGUUUGUGCCUUGGAGCCAUUGUUCACACUACUGCUUGGUACACAAAGAUCAUGCUUGGUUCUGUGUGUACAGGGUGGGGCUGCUUAUUUCUGGGUUUGAUUCCAGAUAGUAGAAAUAAUCUUAAGGCAGAGAAAGUAGCUGGGCACAGAUGUAUGUGGGACUUUGCUCUUUCCUGAGCAUGUCUCCUAAAGGGUAAGGGGAGCCCGAGCCACAGGUGGGUCCUUCUGUCCAUAGUCUCCUGUGGUGCACAGUGAGAUGAGGCCAGGUCUGCUCUGUGUUGCUCCCUGUUGUAUGGAGUGGCAGCUUUAGGCUGUACGUAGCCUUGAGUCUCACUCCAUUUCAUAAACCUAAGCUACUCCAUUUUGGAUUCAAGUGCCAAAAUAGAAUUACUACAUCUUGUUUAUAUGAGUAAAUAAUUACCAUCUGCCAGCACACCACAAGAUACAAUACAGUUUUAUUUGUAAAUAUACCAAAGCUUAUCAGACAUUCCCAUUAAUUUAUCAAUCACACCUCACCUGGGUCUAUAAAAGGAGGAACAUCCCAAGAUGGAGAGAAGCAGGCACACUGACUCAUUACCAGGCCACUGUUAUGAGCCUCAUUUAGAAAAUUGCCACAGCCUCUGGGCUUUGCCUCUCCAGGGGCUCCAGCUUGAGCCCCAUUUUUCCUGCCUCUGACACCCACUUCAAACAAACACUGAAACAGUCUGCCACUUGGAACUACAUUUGACAACUCCACUUUGAACAGCUUUAUGCCUGUGGUUGGCAACAUUUCUUGUUCCCAUGGAGACUUUUUCCGUCUGUAUCUUCUUUCUUCUACCUGUACCUUCAGCAUGGCCCUGGGAACCCCCACUGUAACCCUUUCCUAUCAUUCUGUAACCUACAUAUCGUUAUUAUGUGAAAAGUGCAACGUGAUCUGAGUUAAUACUAGUAAUUAAGAUUGUACUAAAGGAAUCUGAGCCAGUGUUCAAGGAUAUCAGUGAACUCAUCAGUAGUAUUUGGCCAAUGUUAUCCACCAAACUGAUGUGGCUUGUGAAUCUGCAUUGCUAUGGAUACAUUGUGGCAAGGCACAGUGUGUUCAUUUGUGUUUCUGACAGCUCACAGCCUUUUUGAACCCUGUCUCCCACCCUUGGACUGGCAUCUCAGCCCCACCCAGGGAUGGCUUGUUCUUCAGCAUCAGUCAGAGCUGUCUCCAUGUGGUGUGUACUGGAUAUUUGAACAGUGGAUGGGAUUUUCUGGGUUGCUGGUGAUGCUUCUCUAGUCCCCUUCUCAAGCCCACAGCAUGCACACGGCAGCACUGUCUCCUCAGGGCUUUGCUGCUGCUGGGGGCAUAGGAAGUGCCUGUGUUUGGAACCUUUUCACGAUGAGCUUGCUUUUCACUUGCAGUAUGUUUCCAAUCUGGUUCAUUAGGAAUUAACUAACCUGUCUCAUACUCAAAAUAGAUUAUGUUGCCAGGAUUCAAAACUAAGUUUUCUAAAUCACUGCAGAUAUACUGUGAAGGUUUCUAUUUCUUAACACUUUCUCUCUAUAGCUUGUUGGCUACUCAGGGAGAGAAUCCACUGAAUAAAGUGGUAGGCCUGAGUAUCCUGUAAGGGGCCACAUGCCCCCGUACUGGAAAGUUUCUACAUAGUACAGAACACUGAGCUGGAGGGGUGUGGACAGUCCCCAGGCCAUGGCUCAGUAGUGUGGCAUUCGCUCUGUACAUCCCUGUCCCAGGAACAGGCAUCACUUGCCUACUGGGAGUCUCUGGGUGGCACAGCUGUAGAACUGCCACCUCUGAAUGUCAUUGGAGCCACACUUACAGGUGUGUAUGGCCUCAGUGUUCCUCCUUGUAAGGUGAGCUACAGCAAAGGACCCCUGAAGUCCAGGGGCCCAUAACCACUGUGGGGAGACUUGGUGGUUCUAAUGGCUCACGUGUGGGGCCUCAUACACGUGGAGACCAUUCUGCUGCCCCCUCUGCUGCCAUACAUCUUCCUUACGUGAAUCCCGAUUAACAUCAUUGUAAUAAGGCUUUGGGGGAUUCCUUUAGCCAGCUCUUCUGCCCUCAAUGGCAUGUCCUAAUGUGCCUUUGUACAUCAUGGAUUUUCAUCACCCAUGUCAGUCAGAGCACAGGCCACUGUUGCUGAGGUAAUUUGAGUGGCUGCAGAAUAGCACUUAGGGUCUGGCUGUUAGAAACAAGUUAAAUGCUUGCUUCGGGAUGCUUCUGGGUCUUGCCAGGGGUGUGUUACGCCUCGCUGUAAAGGAUCUGGAAGCCUGCCGUUUACCCUCACUGUUGGGGUGAGGUGCCUUAGCACACCAGUUGAUAUAGCAAUUUGGAGUUCUCUAAGAAGGCAGCCAGUGAAAAUUACACAGCAUCAGAACCACAAGAGGCCUGAAAUGACCAUUGUUGGGACCCCAAGUAGGACAUUCUCUAGCAGGAAUAGGACCAUUAGCCAGGAGCUUCUGUCUGCUGGGCCUGCAGAGGGUCUCUUGCUACUUCUGGAAUUUAUACACAGGCAUGUCUGGAAGUCUCAGCAACCGCUCCCAUGUGUUCAAAGUCAAGCUUAGCUGACCAUGCCUAAGCCAUUCCGAUGAGUUUAUAGAACAGCAGGCAGCAAAUCGAGUCAGGAUGGGAAGGCAAGGGGGCUUGGAAAACAAGGGGUCUUAGAUGGGAAGAGGGUGGGCCCUGAGGAGCUGAGGCUAAAGCCACAGAGGGCUGUCUCUGCCUGAUUGCCCUGCUGCUCACAGGAGCAGGACUAUGGUGG